CUGAGAUUGUAGCGAGGACGCCGCAAACUGAAUUCUAGAAACUCCUGUUCUCUCCACCUUCCCCUACACUCAGCCCCCUCCCUCCUUGUCUUGUCAGCUUCUGACAGGUUUCAGCAAGAAUCUAAAGUUCAAAAAGUUAUGUUCCCGGAACUAAAUGCCCGGGAGCCUCGAGUAAUCUUUCUUUGCAUAAUACAGUACUUCGGGUUACUCUUCAAAUGCCAAAAUGCCUUCCACCUUUCUUUCUCAAUUCUGAUACUGAGAAAUAGUGGAUACUGAGAAAUACUGCUUUGCUGAAAGAAAAACAGCAGUUCAAAUGUAAAGAUGCUUGGCCUUGAAACCCAGCCGCCAUGCUGUGAGGAAGCCCAAGCCAGCCACACAAAGAGAUCCACGUGGAGAGGCACUGAGGCCCCGCCUACAAGGAGCAUCCUCUUACUCACAUGGGAGGGAGGGAUGGAGGGAGCCUUGAAUGAUCCAGACCCUGGCUUUCCAGCUGAGGUUCCAGACAAAAAGGAGCAGAGACAAGCUGUCAUCAUGGAUGCUCUGUGUCUGAAUUCCUGACCCAUUCAACCGUAUCCAUAAUAAAUGGUUGCUCUAUGUCACUGAAUUUUGGGGUAGGCAUAAAAACUGGAGCAGCUUAUAAGUCCGAAGUCAUAAAAACGGGUGCAGCUAAUGAGCACGGAAGUCAGGGUUUGAACAUAGGCAUCCAAGACUCUUUCCACUACAUUUCCCCGCUACCCCACUCUUGCUGUGUGGCGAAACACCAGCAUCAUCACAUUUAUCCGCCUCCUCUCCCCCUGCCUGGGACCUCUGACUAAUCUCAAGAGCACUCAUUUUUAUUUGGAAAAAAAAAUCAGAAUUCAAAGGAAAUUGUUCACAGAGCGUGUAAAAGCCUUUCCCAGUGACAGCUGCAGUUCAUUUCACAAAAAAGAGCCACCAGCCCACUUAUAGCAGCCCCCCUCCCCACCCCCAACAAGUGAG
rnacentral:lncRNA from 10 species